rnacentral:rRNA from 1 species
UAGGGAAUCUUGCGCAAUGGGCGAAAGCCUGACGCAGCCACGCCGCGUGAGGGAUGAAGGCUCUCGGGUUGUAAACCUCUUUCAGCAGGGACGAAAAUGACGGUACCUGCAGAAGAAGCCCCGGCUAACUCCGUGCCAGCAGCCGCGGUAAUACGGGGGGGGCAAGCGUUGUUCGGAUUUACUGGGCGUAAAGAGCUCGUAGGCGGCUUGCUUAGUCGAACGUGAAAUCCCUUGGCUCAACUGAGGAACUGCGUCCGAUACUGGCAGGCUUGAAUCCGGGAGAGGGAUGCGGAAUUCCAGGUGUAGCGGUGAAAUGCGUAGAUAUCUGGAGGAACACCGGUGGCGAAGGCGGCAUCCUGGACCGGCAUUGACGCUGAGGAGCGAAAGCCAGGGUAGCAAACGGG